GAGCGCCGCCCCCGCGCCCGCCGGUUCCUGCAGGCGCGGCCCUUCCAGCGCCCGCCGCUUCCAGGGCCCUGUGCCCCCUACCCCACUACUGCGCCCGGCUCCCUCCCGUGUCCCCGCCGCCCCCUGUAGCCCCCACUCUCUCCGGCAGUCCCCGCUCCCUCCCGCGUCCUUUUUGCCUCUCGCGCUGGGCUCCCUCCUGCGCCCCCCCCGCCCCCGCCCCUGCCCCGGGCAUCCUCUCUACCUCCAGUGCCCAGGUUCCCUGCGGAGCGGAGCGCGCGCUCGCCUUAGCGGGGAGGGGACCUCGGCGUUCUCCCGGCGCCCGAGCGCCUCGGACAGGCUGUCCGCCGGGGUUGGAGGAGUUUGGCUGCGAGGUUGUUUCUCGGAUCCGGCAGCCUUGCAGAGUGUGUGUAAAACCCUUCCCCCGUCAAGAGGGGACCCAGCCAGCCUGCGCCCUGCCAGCUCGGGGGACCGGAGGCGGGUGUUAGUGGUUCGGGGAAACUUUCCAGCAGAGCGCCUUGCUGGAGCAAACGGCGCAUCUGUCAAGAACGCUCUCUGGGCGCUCUUGCAAGGAGCUUCCGUUGUUCCAGUGCAGUAGACGCAGAAAGGAAGCGAAGGUUUGUGCAUCUGACAGCUAACGCUGAGGACCAGUUGGAAAAUCACACACUCCUCAGCCCCAGCUAAUGAAUAUACCACUACAGAUCAUGACAUAAAGCAGAAAAAUCUUCAUUCUGUGCAAAACCAAGGGUGGCAAAGAAGGCAGCUUCCAAUCAGUGGAAAUUGAAUAAUUGAAUAAAUGUGUUCUUUUUUAAAAGCGAGAGAUGUAGUAAAGAAUCUAAUUUGGACAGAGGGCAAGCAGAAUGACUCCUUAGAGUUCACCCUAAAGAUGGCUCCCCGAUUAAGUGGCAUCCAGACCCUGGUGAGAAUAGUCACCUUUGUUGUAGGAUUACAGCCGGCCACAAAGUCACGAGUGCCACCAGCUGAAUGUGGUCCCACCAAGUUCCUGUGUGGGCUGAAUAUGAAGUACUUUACGAGGGCCAGAGCUCAGGAGGGGAUGCCGUGCUGCCCUCAGCCCCUGCCUCGUGGAACAGUCAUUGCAAAGGAAUGUUUAUCCCUCCGUGGACUCUUCACUCUGGGGCUCACCAUCACGCACACUGCUGUGCGUGGUUUCACUCCACCUGCCUCCUACCUUAUUUUGUGGGGAGCAGUCUAAUUAUGAGGGGAUGAGCACUUUCUUACAAAUUUUUAAUUCCUCUGGGCAGUUAAUAAAAGAGAGCUAAGUAUGGCUGUUUUAAUCCUAUCGAUUAGAGUGGGAGGCUGAAUAAGACAAAUUCUCUCUAUUGUUUACUUGAUCAUCUGUUUAAAUUUUCUUUAAACGUGAGCCAAAAAUCCUCGUUGCAUUUUUAGUGAUUGUGAUCAUCAUUAAAUAGUCUUCUUCUCUCCACAUCUUCCUGUUGUGAAGUCUGUACAAAUUGGGUUAGUUCCGGUCCAAAAGGAACUUGUAAUUUAAAACAACAUAAAGGCCAGUGUUUCUCAACCGGGGGGCAGUUUUGUGUCCCUGGAGGACAUUUGGCAAUGUCUGGAGAUAUUUUUGGUUGUUGUAACUUGGGGUGGGGGUGGGGGUAUGGUUUGCUAUCAGCAUCUAGUAGGUAGAGGCCAGGGAUGCUGCUAAUCAUCCUGUAAUACAUUCAGAGCUCCACCACAAAGAACGACCUGGCCCAACAUUUCAGUAGUACUGAGCUUGAGAAACCCUGAUAUAAACAUAUGGACUUAAGUGCACAAAUAGUUUAAAAAUGGUGGUAGAUUGAGAAAUGUCUACCUUCUAUGGAGAAGGUCUAGACAAGAGAUGGGAGGGAUUGCAGACAACUUAAUGCUACCAGAAUAGCCCCGGGUGGCAGAAUUAACAUCACCUUCCUUCCAGAUUGCAGCAGGCUCUGUGAAAGGGAUCGGGAGGGUGCAGGGGAUCUUUUCCGAGGCGAGAGAUCUUCACGAGUAUGUAUGAUGACUUGAAAUCAUUCUGAUUUUUACCACUGGGGUCUAUGUCUGACAAGAAUGCCAGUCAUUUAGGAAACAAUCAACUACUCGCAAACCUUUUACAUUGGAAGUGGCGGACUUUAUUCUGUGAUUUCGAAAGUACUCACAAAGGCCAGAAAUGACAGAGAGUUCAGGAUCAUGUUAAUUCAAAGACUAAAAAAGAGGAACCAUUCAGCCAGCCCAAAGAAAUGAUUGCAUCAUUUCCUGGUGUGCGGUUCAGGUUAAAAAUAAUCUUUAAUCCCCAUCAAGAGCAAGCUGUCUUGUCAGAGAGAAUUAGGAAAUUACCUCCGAGCCAGGUUAUAGGGUGGGGUGGAGAAGGGGCGAUUCGUCAAGGAAGAAAUUACUGCUGCGUUUUAGGAUUAAUCUGUCUGCAUGACUGCAGAAAAGGUGGGGCUGAGGGGGUACUGAUGUGAAGGGAGAGAGGAGGAAGGUGCAUGGGGAAGUCUUUGUAGGUUUUCUGUGGGGAGGCACAUGCGUGCUACCUGGGGAGGUGGGCGCUGACUUGAGAGUCUUGCAGCAUUGGGCAGCUGGCUGUUCUUUUGUUCUCAGUCUUGGGCAGUCUGCCUUGGCCUUGAGUGCUCACGGAGAUGGUAAACCACAAGCUCUGUGCCUAUUGGGCCAAUGAGGAACACGGGGAAGGCUGACCUCCGAUGAGCCCUAGAGCCAUCUUGGCACCUUGGCAUCACCACAACACACUGGGGUCACCAUUGCACGGGCUGUGAAGGAAUGGGGGAGGGAUGGCAUCUGUUGAACAUAGGAGGCUUUUUGACCUUUCAGAUCAACUGUAGGUUUCAGCCAGCUGGCGGUCACCUCCUAUUUGCCUCUGUGUUAAAAACUCCAUUAAAAAAAAAAGAACAACAAAAAACCCAGAGCUGUUGUAAAUGUGCCCCGAAUUCACAUUAAAGGCACUCAAAUAUGAGCAAAGAAUUGUCAAGGGCUGUGAUGUCCUAUCUCACUGUCCCUCCAGCCUUGUGAUUGGGGCCAAGACCUACUGCUCUGGAAGUGAUCAACUAAACUCAUUCUACCUCGUCAUUUCAGAGCCUGCAUGAAUAUGCAUCUUGUGGAAAUCGACACUUGAAAGAUUAAGGGUUGUUUUCUUUUUUUUUUUGAGGUUACACUGUACUGAGGUUGAAGUAAAUCUUCACAUCUGAUCUUGUGUGUGUGUGUGUGUGUGUUUAAACUCAAAACCAUAAUAACUCUGGCAUGGUUUUUAGACAUGAGCAGUACCACGAUAUCCUGUGUAAUAAGCAAAAGAAAUGAACAAGAGAAAUAUGGUCUCCUUAGAAGUGUCUUACCCAAGUGGCAGAGUAGAAAACACACAGGCUGGACUCAGGUUUAGGCCGUACCUCACCUCUUACUAGUUACAGAUCCUUGAGCAGUUCAGUUCGUUUUUCUGAGAUUUAAUUACGUCAUCAGCAGAAUGGAAAUAGCAUUGCUUACUUCCUAGGACUCUAAUCUGAAAUGAAUAAGCUCAUGUGUGUAUGAGCCCUGCCUAAUGCCUGGCGUUUGGUGGGUACUUAAUGAAUAGUAAUUAUUACCAUAAUUUUUUUCCAUUAGAGAAGUACAGUGUCCCUUUGAGACAUUGUUCUGUCAGUGAUUAUAUAUCACAUUUUAUAAUAUACCACAAAACCAUGUAGUUACCAGUAGUCCGACAAAUGCCAACACAUUUUUCAUUAGUAUUAUCACCAAAACCCCUCUGUGAGGCACUCGCCAUGUGGAAUUAAAACUUGCUCACCUGUUUGCCAAUAGCACUGGGAAAUCAAAGAUAUCUGCGCAUACAUAGAUGCAAGCCAACUGUUAGAGAAAAAUGCGUCGUAAUGAAUAUGACAUCAUUUGGUUUGAAGGCUAUGGAGGUUUGGUCAGCAGGAGCAAUAGCUCAAGGGAGAUGCUGGGACUCUAGCCAAUAACUUCUGACCUACAGACAGAGAAGAGACUCUGGGAACUGAAAUGUCUCUUAUCACAUUUUAAUUCAAAAAAUAGAAUCUUACACUCUGAGCCGAAUAUAUAAAUGGAAUAAGAUAUCAGGAAGAGUAGUUUUCAGGUGAUAAAUAGUGCACUUGGCAAAGAGCUUUCUACAUGUGGCAUCAGUGAAGCAUGGGACCUUUUCUCUGCGUAUUCCCACCGUGCGUAUCAUCAAAACAGAUGGAUGUCUGGAACUUAAUGAUAAUGCCAUGCAUUGAUAUAACACUUGUAUACCAGGGCACCUUGACAUGUAGGACCUCAAAAGUGGGGGAGACUUAUUGACUCGUCUCUCUCUUCAUCCAUCCAUCCAUUCAUCCAUCACCCAUCCAUCUAUCCACCCACCUACCCACCAUCCCCUCCAUCUGUCUAUCCACCCAUCCAUCCAUUCAACCAACAUUAAUUGAAUGCAUACUUUCUGCCAGGCCCUGGGCUGGAGGCCAAGGCAACAAAGAUGGAAAGACUCAAUUCUACCCCUCACGGACCUUUCAAAGCACUGAGAGUUGGACACAGUCAAAAGGGAGACAUACUCAAAACUCAGUGAAUUACACAUGGGCUGGCCACAUAGCAGACUUUUAGUAAAUACCAAAUAAAGACGACAGAAAUAAACAACAGGUGUGUGGAAAGAGAUGCUGUUUCCAGCUCUCUCUGAAUUAUUUAUUUUGAGAGCAAGGGACUUUGAGCCUGAGUUUCAUCAUUUCGGGCAGAAUAACUCUGGUGAGUAGGUGGCUCUUGCCUCUCGUUCUAGCCCACAUUCCUCAUCUCCAGAGAGAAUGUUUCCGUGGCUUGAAGCCUUUAAUGGAGAAAGUUCUCCCUAACAGGCUGUCUUCACUUCAAGUGAGGGAGGGCCCUUUGCUGCAUGCUUGGUCACUGACGAUCCUGGUGGAGGGAGCCCAGGGAUCAUUUUCACGUUCAGCCGCUGAGCAGGCUGGAUGGGGGCCAUCUGUGUUACUCUCCCUUUAUCUAAGAUGGCUGUCCAGGGCAGCCAGGAAUGGGUUUUUGAAAGAAAUACUCAGAAAAGUUAAAAAAUAGCAUAAAUGUUAUCCCCCGUUCACUAUCAAGUUGCGAUUUAUUGUUCAUUUUAGUUUGUCUUCUGUGCCUUUUGCCAAGGAUUUAGCCAUGUAUACUUUGGCUAUUUUGAAUUAGAAUUUCAAACUGCAUAGAAACUCUGGUGCCAUUGUUUUUGUUUUUUAAACAAACAAAAAAUUGAAUUCUGCACUUGUCUGUUUUAAACAUCAGCAAAACUGAAAUUGAUUGUCAUAUAACUCUAAGUUAUAAUAACU